rfam:Firmicutes bacterium CAG:124 genomic scaffold, scf206
AUUCCAGAUAGAGGCGCGGGCUUCAAGAGUACCGGGCGGCAAGCACAGGCAGUGGCCGUUCGGAAAAGGGGAGACCGCCGAAAUGCCGCAGGCGUUGCCUGCAAAUGCGGUGUUGGCUCGGCAGAUAAGAUCUGCCGGACUGUCACAAAGAAAAGCUUUGUGAAGCGCUAUCGAUGGA